rnacentral:rRNA from 1 species
UACAGAGGGGGCAAGCGUUGUUCGGAAUUACUGGGCGUAAAGGGCGCGUAGGCGGCCUUCUAAGUCGAACGUGAAAUCCCCAGGCUUAACCUGGGAACUGCAUCCGAUACUGGAUGGCUUGAAUCCGGGAGAGGGAUGCAGAAUUCCAGGUGUAGCGGUGAAAUGCGUAGAUAUCUGGAGGAAUACCGGUGGCGAAGGCGGCAUCCUGGACCGGCAUUGACGCUGAGGAGCGAAAGCUAAGGGAGCAAACGGG